UCUGAUGUGAAAGCCCCCGGCUCAACCGGGGAGGGUCAUUGGAAACUGGGGAACUUGAGUGCAGAAGAGGAGAGUGGAAUUCCACGUGUAGCGGUGAAAUGCGUAGAGAUGUGGAGGAACACCAGUGGCGAAGGCGACUCUCUGGUCUGUAACUGACGCUGAGGAGCGAAAGCGUGGGGAGCGAACAGGAUUAGAUACCCUGGUAGUCCACGCCGUAAACGAUGAGUGCUAAGUGUUAGGGGGUUUCCGCCCCUUAGUGCUGCAGCUAACGCAUUAAGCACUCCGCCUGGGGAGUACGGUCGCAAGACUGAAACUCAAAGGAAUUGACGGGGGCCCGCACAAGCGGUGGAGCAUGUGGUUUAAUUCGAAGCAACGCGAAGAACCUUACCAGGUCUUGACAUCCUCUGACAAUCCUAGAGAUAGGACGUCCCCUUCGGGGGCAGAGUGACAGGUGGUGCAUGGUUGUCGUCAGCUCGUGUCGUGAGAUGUUGGGUUAAGUCCCGCAACGAGCGCAACCCUUGAUCUUAGUUGCCAGCAUUCAGUUGGGCACUCUAAGGUGACUGCCGGUGACAAACCGGAGGAAGGUGGGGAUGACGUCAAAUCAUCAUGCCCCUUAUGACCUGGGCUACACACGUGCUACAAUGGACAGAACAAAGGGCAGCGAAACCGCGAGGUUAAGCCAAUCCCACAAAUCUGUUCUCAGUUCGGAUCGCAGUCUGCAACUCGACUGCGUGAAGCUGGAAUCGCUAGUAAUCGCGGAUCAGCAUGCCGCGGUGAACACGUUCCCCGGCCUUGUACACACCGCCCGCUCUCCACGAGCGUUUCG
rnacentral:rRNA from 1 species